rnacentral:rRNA from 1 species
UAGGGAAUCUUCCGCAAUGGACGAAAGUCUGACGGAGCAACGCCGCGUGAGUGAAGAAGGAUUUCGGUUCGUAAAACUCUGUUGUUAGGGAAGAAAAAAUGUAUAGUAACUAUAUACAAAAGAGACGGUACCUAACCAGAAAGCCACGGCUAACUACGUGCCAGCAGCCGCGGUAAUACGUAGGUGGCAAGCGUUGUCCGGAAUUAUUGGGCGCAAAGCGCGCGCAGGUGGUUUAGAAAGUCUGAUGUGAAAGCCCACGGCUCAACCGUGGAGGGUCAUUGGAAACUAAUAAACUUGAGUGCCGGAGAGAAAAGUGGAAUUCCUAGUGUAGCGGUGAAAUGCGUAGAGAUUAGGAGGAACACCGGUGGCGAAAGCGGCUUUUUGGCCUGCAACUGACACUGAGGCGCGAAAGCGUGGGGAGCAAACAGG